rnacentral:rRNA from 1 species
CCACGCCGUAAACGAUGAGUGCUAGGUGUCGGGGGUCAAACCUCGGUGCCGACGUUAACACAUUAAGCACUCCGCCUGGGGAGUACGUGCGCAAGCAUGAAACUCAAAGGAAUUGACGGGGACCCGCACAAGCAGCGGAGCAUGUGGUUUAAUUCGAAGCAACGCGAAGAACCUUACCAGGGCUUGACAUAUGCAUGACCGGUGUAGAGAUACACCCUUCUCUUCGGAGACGUGUAUACAGGUGGUGCAUGGUUGU